rnacentral:rRNA from 1 species
GAUGAACGCUAGCUACAUGCUUAACACAUGCAAGUCGAGGGGACACGGCAUCGAAAGCUUGCUUUUGUUUGGCGUCGACAGGCGCACGGAUGAGUAGCGCGUAUCAACCAUAACCAUCACUUGGGUAUAACCUUGCGUAAGUAAGACUAAUUACCAAUUACAUCCCAAGGAUUCAACCGAAUGGGAUUAUAGUUCUAUCGGUGAUGGAUGGGGCUGCGUCUGAUUAGCUUGUUGGCGGGGUGACGGCUCACCAAGGCAACGAUCAGGAGGUGUCCUGAGAGUAAGGUCCCCUGCAUUGGAACUGAGGCACAGACCAAACUCCGACGGGAGGGAACAGUGAGGAAUAUUGGGCAAGGGGGGAGAGCGUGAACCAGCCAAGUAGCGUGUAGGAUGACGGCCCUAUGGGUUGUAAACUACUUUUAAAAGGGAUUAAAGUAGGUCACGGGUGACUUUUUGCAGGUACCUUAUGAAUAAGGAACGGCUAAUUCCGUG